rnacentral:tRNA from 1 species
GCCUCCGUAGCUCAGUUAGGUAGAGUAUCAGCUUAAGAGGGCUGGUCCGCUCAAAGCACCCGGCUGUUAACCGGGCGGUCACAUGUUCGAUCCAUGUCGGAGGCG